rnacentral:rRNA from 1 species
GAUGAACGCUAGCGGGAGGCUUAACACAUGCAAGUCGAGGGGCAGCACGAUGUAGCAAUACGUUGGUGGCGACCGGCGCACGGGUGAGUAACGCGUAUGCAAUCUACCCUGUACUGGGGGAUAGCCCGGAGAAAUUCGGAUUAAUACCCCAUAAUGAUAUUGAGAGGCAUCUUUUGAUAUUUAAAGUUUCGACGGUACGGGAUGGGCAUGCGUAACAUUAGCUAGUUGGUAGGGUAACGGCCUACCAAGGCAACGAUGUUUAGGGGUCCUGGGAGGGUGAUCCCCCACACUGGUACUGAGACACGGACCAGACUCCUACGGGAGGCAGCAGUGAGGAAUAUUGGUCAAUGGGCGUAAGCCUGAACCAGCCAUCCCGCGUGCAGGAAGAAGGCGCUAUGCGUUGUAAACUGCUUUUCCAGGGGAAGAAAACUUCCAUCGAGAUGGGACUUGCCGGUACCCUGGGAAUAAGCAUCGGCUAACUCCGUGCCAGCAGCCGCGGUAACAC